rnacentral:rRNA from 1 species
UACGUAGGCAGCAAGCGUUGUUCGGAAUUACUGGGCGUAAAGGGCGCGUAGGCGGCCUUCUAAGUCGAACGUGAAAUCCCCGGGCUCAACCCGGGAACUGCGUCCGAUACUGGGAAGGCUUGAAUCCGGGAGAGGGAUGCGGAAUUCCAGGUGUAGUGGUGGAAAUACGUAGAUAUCUGGAGGAACACCGGGUGGCGAAGGCGGCGACCUGGUCCUAUACUGACACUCAUACACGAAAGCGUGGGGAUCAAACAGG